UUCCAACUCCCUUUUGGUAAUAGAGGAAUGAAUUUAUCUCCCUGUGGGAUGAUGUGAAGCUGCAGCCAGACCCCCGAGGUGGGAGGUUCACCCCUCCCAUGCUGCUGCCAGCCUGCCUGAGCCCUGCUGCUGAUUCUCCCCAGAAAUGCGAAUUUUGGUUUAUCACGUCUGCCUGGCGGGCAGCAGGAGCUGCACAGUGAGCUGGGGGAAAGCACAAGUUAUCCACCUACAUGCGAGGGGCCGGGAUUUUGCUGACACUUUCUGCCUGGGAAUUGAAUGCUGCCUGAAUCAUCCAGCCAGGGCCAUUUGUUCAUAAAAAGACAAAUGGGCAGAGCCAGACCCUCUGGCAUGGAGCUGCUCCU
rnacentral:lncRNA from 1 species